rnacentral:rRNA from 1 species
AGGACGAACGCUGGCGGCGUGCUUAACACAUGCAAGUCGAGCGGAAAGGCCCUUCGGGGUACUCGAGCGGCGAACGGGUGAGUAACACGUGAGCAACCUGCCCUUAGCUCCGGGAUAGCUCCGGGAAACCGGAAUUAAUACCGGAUACAACCACGGCCGACAUCUGCUGUGGUGGAAAGGAUUCCGGCUAAGGAUGGGCUCGCGGCCUAUCAGCUAGUUGGUGGAGUAACGGCCCACCAAGGCGACGACGGGUAGCCGGCCUGAGAGGGCGACCGGCCACGACUGGGACUGAGACACGGCCCAGACUCCUACGGGAGGCAGCAGUGGGAAUAUUGCGCAAUGGGCGAAAGCCUGACGCAGCGACGCCGCGUGGGGAUGAAGGCCUUCGGGUUGUAAACCCCUUUCAGCAGGGACGAAGCGAAAGUGACGGUACCUGCAGAAGAAGCGCCGGCUAACUACGUGCCAGCAGCCGC